rnacentral:piRNA from 1 species
UNCCCUGUGGCUUUUAUCCUACUAUUAAG